rnacentral:lncRNA from 1 species
CAAAUAGAUCCUCAUAUAUUCUGCAUGCCCUUAUUUGCAUUUUUUCAUAUUUAUAACUCUCUUAAAUUCACGAACACUACAUGUUUAAUAGAUUUAAAAAAAUAGACACGUGUUUAAUGAACAAUUUCCACAAAAAUGUUUAAGUAGGUCGUGGGGGAAGUUCCAAUGAUUGAAUGCUUCCUUGCAACAUUUCUAAUACUCUAGUCAUUGAUGGUCGAUCUAAUGGAUUGGUUUGAAUGCACCAAAGGCUUACUGCAAUCAAUUUCCUUGUUAUUUCUGCUUCCUCUCCUGUUAUUUCUUCAUUAAUAUUCAAGUUUGUAGACUGAUCGAGAUGCUUAUAAAUCCAUGACGGAAAAUAUAUUUCACUAGUUUGGGACGCUUCAACAUUAACACUUUUUCUCCCUCCAACCAUUUCAAGCACCAUCAUUCCAUAACUAUAGACAUCGGAUUUAUGAGAAACUCCUCCUAGAUUUCGAAAAAACACUUCUGGAGCAAUAUAUCCCGCAGUUCCUCUAGCACCUGUCAUUGAUACAAUACUCUUCUUUCUUUCACAUAAUUUCGACAAGCCAAAAUCAGAGAUCUUGGGACAAAAAUUCUCAUCUAAAAGGAUAUUUUGAGGCUUUAUGUCAAAGUGCAAGAUCCUUGUGUUACAACCUUGAUGCAAGUACUCAAGUCCUCUAGCGAUGCCGAGUACAAUGUCAUACAAUGUUACCCAUUCCAAUUGACGACUUUGAUUAUCCGAUCCUUGUCCAUAAAUGAACUUGUCCAAUGAUCCUUUGGGCAUGAAUUCAUAGAUCAAAGCUCUCUUCGAUCUUUCAAAGCAAAAACCAAGUAAAGUCACUAUAUUAACAUGAGAAGUUCUGCUAAUGCUAGCUACUUCAUUCAUAAAAUCCUCUCUAUUUCCCUUCAUUUCACUUAAGAAUUUAACUGCCACAAGAUGACCAUCAGGUAGUUUUCCUUUAUAUACACUUCCAAAACCUCCUUGGCCUAAUUUAUCAUUGAAUUUGUUUGUCAUUUUCUUGAUUUCUUCGUAAGAGUAUCUCUUUGGAGCAAAAGGACCAAACUUUGUGAUGAAUUCCUCAAUCCUAGCAUCGUCGUUCUUCUUUCCUUGGCGGGGAUAAUUUGAUAAUAAUUUUCCUUUGAACCUUAAGACAGUGAAGCAUAUAGUAGAAAUCGAUACAACUCCAACAACAGAUCCUGUUUAUGAACUAUUAAUCAAUUUUUGCUAGCUCAAUAGAUAAGAUUCAAUUAAAGUGAAAACAUUGGUUAAAAUAAAAAGAAAGUAGUGAAUAAAAUCGAACAAGAAACUUAAAAACAAAGGGUAAAUUAUCAAAAUAGUUACUUUUGUUUAUCUCGGGUUACAUUUUAAUCACUUAUGUUUGAAAUAUUACAUUUUCGUUACUUACCUUAAUGUGUUGUAACAUGUUAGUCACUAAGCUGUUAAUUAUCGUUAACAAUGUAACAAUAAGUUGACUUGACAUGUUAAAUCAUCAUUUCGAACAAAAAUUGUAGAUUAAAUUGUACAAUUGGUCCCUAUAUUUUUUCGUUUAGAGCUAAAUUUUAACCUAAAAUUUUCAUUUGAAAUGAUGAUUUAACGUGCCACCUCAGCUUACCGUUACACUGUUGACUACAAUUAACACUCAGUGACUAAAAUGUUACAACACGAUAACGUAAGUGCCUAAAAUGUAAUUUUUCAAACAUAAGUGAUUAAAAUGUAACCUGAAACCAAAAAAAAAGAAGACUAUUUUAAUAGUUUACCCUAAAAAUUAUAAAAGUUAAAAAAAAAGGAUGAUUAUUAAUUUAAAAGAAAAGCAUUAAAAGAUAUAGAAAGAGUAUAUAUAUUUAUUUAAAAUCAACUUAAUUAAAAGCUAUUUCAACACUACAAUUAUAGUAGUUGUGAUGUAUUUAGUGUGUGCUUAGAAUAUAUGCAGUUAAUUCAAACCACAUUAUUACCCAACAAACAGUUUCAUAUCUAUGAUUAUUGGAGUCAGCUUCAACUUGGAUUUGGACCCACCUAUUCAAUUACAAUAUACCACACAAAGCAAUCAAUUAGUUACUGUACGAUUUCAAUUAUUUAAAUAAUUUCAACUCCUUUUUUUUUUCUUCUUGAGUUAAACAUUCACAUCAAAUUAAUAUUACUAUCUUAAAACAGAAAAUAAAUAACAUGUUGAAUUGUAUAAAUGGAAAGUACAUACAUACCUCUGGCAUUGCACUUCCGGCAGGCUUCCGCAUCUUCCUUCCAUUGCACCUCGAAUCCUGUUUCCAAUGCUUCUUCCAAAUCCAGGGAAUCAUUUCGAAGUCUUUCCCAGGAAGAUUGAAGAAUCGGGACUCUAACAUUAGCUGAACAUCCAUCUGGACGAAUGUUAUCUGUAGUUAUGGAAACAUUGUUGUAAUUUGAAGAAUCGCAAGGGAAGAUUCCAAGACUCGAUGAAGAUUGGCAGUCAUAAGACAUAGUAAGAUUGGUAUUUCCAGAACCGAGAACGAAUGGCUCAGAAUUCAGGAUCGAAUCUUGAAUUGGAAUUUGAGGAUGACAAGAGCCAUUCUUGAUGAAGUCCUCCCUCGCAAUCCUUAGAAUUUGAUUUUCAUGACGGAUGUCCAGCACCUCAUACUUUACACCAACAAUUUCAAUCUUAGUAGUAUUAGUAAAAACUUCACAGUGAAGCUCCAAACCAGGAUGUCCACAUUCUGGAUCUCGAUCACCUCCGGAGAAAGGAUAUCCAAUGGAGAUAUCCCCACAUUUAAACACUGCAUCGCGGCACUUCUCGUACAGUUGAUCGGGACUGGGUAGUGAAACAGGAAACCCAAGAAUAAGCAAAACAGAAGUAGAAGCAGAAAGAAAGAGAAUCAUUUUCUUUUCCAAAAAUUUUCAGAGCAGAGAUGGAAGAAAGGGUUGGCAAUUGAUUGCCAUUGCCACCGCGGACCGGUGACAUCAGCAGACACCAUUGCCUUGGGAUCGCCCGUUCUCUAUAUUGAAAUUGGCAUGCAUUUGUUACCUGGUGGAAGGGGUAGGGCAGAAAGUAAUAUCAUAAUCAGCUUCAACACAAUGGAACAUACUGGUUGCAUCAUCAUCAAAGGCGUAGCUAUAAGCUGUAGGACACGCAGUCUUGAAGAAUUGUGAGUAAGAAGUGGGCUGGCACGUAGCUGGAGAAUAAUAUUCUCCAGAGCAGCAAUACUGGGGUUCCCCAAGAGCAGAGCAAGCACUCUUACAUGCAACUGUCUCACUCCCAUUGACAACCUUAAGCUCCGAAGGACAGUCACCAUUCAAAUCCGCAACACAUCCAGUUGAGUUACAGUCACCUCCAGUUCCACCAUGUGGGGAUAUCAUCAAUGGUAGAUUGUAUCCACCAACAAGGCUAACAUCAUAGAAAUCUCCCAGAUCAUUGAAUCCAAACUCUGCAAGGGUGGCCUGGAUGGAACUACUACCAGAACACUCUGGUCUAGAUGUGCCGCAGUCGCCGGUGAGGCAAGAGAAAUUGCCAGAAGAGUCUUGAGUGCAAAGAGUUCGACCCCAUAUCCGACCUGUCCAAGAUCUUGGAAUAGAAAUAGAUGUUGAUUCGCCGGGAUUAAGACUGAAACCUGUAGUAGGAAAACUCUGUGAGCCUCCGGCCAAUGUUAUCAUCCCUGGCCAAACUGUAUAGCUGCAAUUAUUUACAAUAGUAAACAUCGAUAGACGAGCAUCUGUGCACAGGAAAAUGAAUUUAAAUCUACACAAAACAUAUAUACACACACACAAAAAGAGGUAUAUGAACAGGGACAAGACAAGCAAAGGAUCCAAGCCGAGUUUCAAACAGAAGAGUUUAUAAGUUAAACUGAGAGAGGCCUUGAAACAGAACAUACUUGUGUUAACCACCCAACCCAAGAGGAAGUUAUUAAACUGGCAGAUGCACGCAACACUAAUCUUCAUCUUAUUACCAUUACCCAAAAAGAAUAGUUCUAAAAUGGAAAGUACAUGCAUACAUACCUCUGGUAUUAUUCCUUUGUGAAACAGCAACCCCAAGCAUCAUGAAUGAUAAGGAAAGCAAAAGAAGAGCAAGAUCUGAUGAUGCUGAUGCUGGUGCUGAUGAUUUCAUUUUCAAUUUGUUUUUAGAAAAAAUUCAGAGAAGAGAUAGUAGGAUAACCAGUCAAAUGAUGAUAAAAAGAAACCAUUGAUUUUUAUCUCAGCUCAGCUCAAAUGAAUUACGAGGAAAUUGUCAAAACAAAAGGGUUUGACUAUAAAGUCGGCAGUCGGCCUUUAAGACGUAACUGUCCAAAGGAAAUUUCUCUUCUUUUAUCGACUAAACUUCCAAGGGAAAUUGUUGAAAUUGUCGCAUAGAUGGACAUGGCUCAUGUUAUUAGUUUCUGUUUCUGUUGGAUUUUGGAUAAAUUAUUUUGUAUUUUGGGCCGAUCCAGUUUGGCCUUAUUUUUUUUAUGUAUUAAUUAAAAAUAUCGUUUGUUAUUUAAAAUUUAAAGUAUAAAAAUAUAAAAAUUUUAAUAUAUUUCUUUAAUUAUAAAAUUAUUUAAUAAAAUUUAAUGGUGAAUUCAAAUUUAUUUUCAAAAUGUAUGAUUUUUAUAAUUUUAUAAUUAGUUUUAAAUAUAUAUAAAAAAAAUAUAAAAAUUUUAAUAGGAGAAUCAAAAACCGUAUAACUAAACAACCAAAGAUCUAAUUAAAACAUGAAUCAAAUGCCAUUAAGAGAUAGCUGCUCGCAGUUUUCUUUGUCCAUCUCAAAGAAAAAAAAUUAAAUUCAAUUUAGUCAUUCUCGAAUUGAGUUCAAAUUUAAAUAACUUAAACUAUCGAGUAGGUCACAUUUAAAAUUUCCAUAAUUCUACAAUAAACGCCUUCCCUUUCAACAAUUUGUAGAAUCCUCAAUCAAGAAUUCAAAUAUCGGAUCUCAUUGAAAGUCCCCUCUCCAACUGGACUUUCUCUUUUUGCAUUGUCCACUGCGGGUGAAAUAGCAUGACUGGCGGAGCUGCCAUCAUUCAAGACCAUAGAGCCUCUCAGUUUCUGUCCAUUUGAAGCUACAAAAUUGCCAAUAAAAUUCAGGCCAGACAUCUCACUCUUUGUUCUAUCCUUAUUAUACUAAAAAAAUCAUAAUAUUUCUUUUUGUAGGUUUUUUGGAGGUAACAAAAAAUGUCCGGGCAUACUGAAAUAGGAUAGAAGGCGUUUAUAAUUUAUUAACUUUUCAAGGCAUUAACCCCUCUUGAUUUGUACCAGAAAACUUAGUAGUAUAAUCAAACAUUCACUUAUUAUUAUUGAAAAUUUUCAAUUCGAGGUUAAGCACGAAUAAUUUACAUGACAAUCAAGCUCAUUUUCUUCUUUAGAUAAAAAAUCAUUAUCUUAAAUCAGAGUUGAGAGAUUGAACCAAAAUUUUAACUUGUAAAGAUUAAACUUUAAAUUUGGAGUCAAACUUGGUUGAAGUACACCCUACGAAUGCCACUAUUGAUGUCAUUUUAUACUGAAUAUAUAGUCAAAUCAUGGAUGGUAACAAUUUGUUUGAUUUUUCUUAUCAAAACCCAAAUUAUUUGAUUCUAAUACUAUCGUUAUUGUUGAGGAGGGACUUUAAGAGAAGUUUUCGAAAUGUCAUUUUCGGAGACAACGACAAUAGUUCAAGGGUUCGAAUCUCAUGAAGGGUGAGACACUCACGUCGUCUUUUGAUGGGUGGUCGUACGUCCACAUAUGGUUGGACUUUUGCCUUUGUGAACGGUAAAUGGCUCUCUGCAUAGCGGGAGACAAAACCCACUCCUGAGAGACAAAACUUUCCAUUAUUGAGAAACUUGGUUGGCAUUCCUAAAGACAACAUUUCGAAAACUUCUCCUAAUAUUUUCAAUCUCAUUUUCACCGAUAUUUUCGCCUUCAACAAAAUCAUACAUAUUUUCCACGUGAAUAAACACCAAGCCAUAAGCAUUUGUUAAUUUUCCAAUUUGGCAGGUAGUAUUAAAAAGUGUUGUAAAAAAGCCUAUCAAAUUUUAUGUUACCUUUCGAACGAUUGUUUGUUUAAUCAAUUAUUGAUUCUAUUAGAAAUCAUCAAAUAGAUCCUCAUAUCUUUUGUAUGCCUUUAUUUGCAUUUUCCCAUAUUUAUAACUCUCUUAAAUUCACGAACACUACAUGUUUAAUAAAUUAAAAAUAAUAAUAAACACAUGUUUAAUGAACAAUUUCCACAAAAAUGUUUAAGUAGGUCGUGGGGGAAGUUCCAAUGAUUGAAUGCUUCCUUGCAACAUUUCUAAUACUCUAGUCAUUGAUGGUCGAUCUAAUGGAUUGGUUUGAAUGCACCAAAGGCUCACUGCAAUCAAUUUCCUUGUUAUUUCUGCUUCC